rnacentral:misc_RNA from 1 species
CCGAGUUUACAACUCCCAAACCCCUGUGAACAUACCUAUCGUUGCCUCGGCGGUGCCCGCUCCGGCGGCCCGCCAGAGGACCCCCAAACUCUUGUUUUAUACAGUAUCUUCUGAGUACUAUACAAUAGUUA